rnacentral:lncRNA from 1 species
GUGGUGGUGGGUGCCUGAAAUCCUAGCUACUCAGGAGGCAGAAGCAGGAAGAUCACUUGAGCCUAGGAGCUUGAGGUUGCAGUGAGCCAUGAUCAUCCCACUGCACUCCAGCCUGGGCGACAGAGCAAGAUGCUGUCUCAAAAAAAUUAAUUAAUUAAUUAAUUAAACAUAUAUAUGAAGAAAAUGUAAAAGGAAUGUUUAUACAAUCAUGGGGCAGUGUAAGACUUUCUCAGCAUUACACCAAAGAUAGAAAUAAUAAGAUUUUGAUGAGCUUGGUUAAUGUAGUGGAUACCUUAAAAGGCAAUCCCCUCCAAAAGGGAGUUAGCUCAGGAGACAAAAACUCUGCCCUAUACCCAAUCCAUAGAACUGGAUUCUUAGCAACUGUGUUAGAACGACAUGAUUCUGCUCCACUAGCCCUUGAUACCGGACCCAACCUGAAGCAAUCAGAUUUCCUUUAAAGGGUAUUUGGACUUGGAACAAAGAGCUCUGGUUCAGUCCAGCUGCUCUAUUCAGUAGGAAACAGGUAAACACAAAAGAGAUGAAAUGGUCGUUUUCCACCCAUCUUGUACCUGUGAAGCAAAAAAAGCUGUAUUGUCAAGAGAUAAAAGUAAAGCAGAUGCACAGAGAAAUGCAGAUGUGGAGAGAGCACAUUAUGGCAUUUCGGGUACUUGACUUCAGUACCUGGCUGCAUUGUUGCCCUUGGGUGUAAGGAGCUGCAUGUAUCAAUACAUGCAUUGGAAAGCUUUUGCGCGCCUCUCCUUUCUCACAUCUGGUUGUGAUGCAAAUGAUUCCACAUAGACUUUUACUCUUUUUCUAUCUCGGUAUCUCACCUGAGGAGUGGGCAGGCCGGGCGCGUUGGCUCAUGCCUGUAAUCCCUGCACUUUGGGAGACCGAGGCGGGCAGAUCACCUGGGGUCAGGAGUUCCACACCAGCCUGGUCAACAUGGCGAAACCCCAUCUCUACUAAAAACACAAAAACUAGCCAGGCUUGGUGGUGGGUGCCUGUAGUCUCAGUUACUCAGGAGACCGAGGCACGAGAAUCGCCUGAAUCCAGGAAUCCAGAGUCAGAGACUGCAGUGAACCAAGAUUGCACCAUUGCACUCCAAACUGGGUGACACAGCACGACUGAAUCUCAAAAAAAAAAAAAAAAAAAAAAAAAGAGAGAGAGAGAGAGUGGGUCACACUCUCUUGAUUCCUGCCCAUGGUCUUUAGUGGUGCCUUGGUGUAGGACAAUGCAGGAGCCCACUGGGACUGACUGAGGCACCCAGAAGUGUUCACCACCAGUGGGGAGACUGCUUUCUCUUUUGUCCCUCAGAUAGAGAUCUGCAGGUGUCAGCAGAAAUAAACACCAAUCUCCUGCAACAGGGCCAACCCAAUAAUGCAGUCUAGCAUUGCCUUUUUCUCCUUCCUGACUUCACUUUCCUUGGCCCCUCACUCCUGCUCCCUGGAAUCGCAUACCAAAUCAAGCACCUGCAUGCAGCCCUAGGCCCAGGCUCUGCUUUGGGGGAAACCCAGAAGAAGCAAGUGUGGCCACAGAAGUGGCCAUAGAAAGAAUGCUCUCGAGACAGGAUUCUAAACCUGGAUUACCCACUGGUCAGGCAGCAAAAAGAAAUCCAUCACUGGUAACAGGUGAGAGGGCUAUACUCUCUGGUAGCUUCACAAAAUGGCUUCCCUGAUUGCCACUGUCUACAUUUGAUUGGAACGUGGUGGAGGCAGAAGACAAAGAAUAUGUGGUAUUCUAGCACUGGAAGAGGUUGCAACAGUCAUCAUAAAAAUUAUUUUUAAAAUGAAUUAUAGAAUGGCUUCGCUUUGGUUAGCUGCUUUUAAACUCUUGAUAAAAGAAAUCAGCAUACUCGGCCGGGCGCGGUGGCUCACGCCUGUAAUCCCAGCACUUUGGGAGGCCGAGGCAGGUGGAUCACGAAGUCAGGAAAUCAAGACUAGCCUGGCCAACAUGGUGAAACCCCAUCUCUACUAAAAAUACAAAAAUUAGCUGGAGACGGUGGUGCACACCCGUAGUCCCAGCUACUCAGGAGGCUAAGGCAGGAGAAUAGCUUGAACCUGGGAGGCAGAGGUUGCAGUGAGCCAAGAUUGUGCCACUGCUGCACUCCAGCCUGGGGACAGAGUAAGACACUGUCUCAAAAAAAAAAAGAAAUCAACAUACUCAUGUUAUGUAGCUGCCCACUAUAAAAAUAAGAGUCCUCCAUGGCAGUGGAUACUCCGAGGCCUGUCAUAGUGGUUCACACAGCACUUUGGGAGGCCGAGGCAGGCAGAUCACCUGAGGUAAGGAGUUCGAGACCAUCCUGGCCAACAUGGCAAAACCCCAUCUCUACUGAAAAUACAAAAAUUAGCCGUGCAUGGUGGUGCUUGCCUGUAAUCACAGCUACUCGGGAGGUUGAGGCAGGAAAAUCGCUUGAACCUGGGAGGCAGAGGUUGCAGUGAGCCGAGAUCAUGCCACUGUACUCCAGUCUGGGUGACAGAGCGAGACUCUAUCUCAAAUAAUAAUAAUAAUAAUAAUAAUAAUAAUAAUAAUAAUAAUAAAAGACACUUCCAAAUAAAAGACAGUCUUUUCGAUAAUUGGUGCUGGAUAGCCAUGUGAAAAAAACAAGCUUUGACCUCUACUUCACACUACACCCCCAAAUUAAUUCUAGAUGGAUCAUGGACAUAAAUGUAGAGGGUAAAAAAAUUAAGCUUCUAGGAGAAAACACAGAUCCUAUUUAUGACCUUGGGAUUAAAUGGAACAGAGGGCACUAGCUAUAAGAGAAUGUUAAGUUGGACUUCAUUAGGAACUUCUGUUCCUCAAAAGACACUACUGGGAGAGUUAAAAAGCAAGCCAAAAACUUGGAACAUAGUUCAACACAAUACUUAGAUCUACAGUAUAAAAAAAUUCCUACAAAUCACUAAGAAAAAAACCCCACAUAGCCCAAUUUUAAGAAACUGUACCCAAAACUCUUUUCACAAUGAAGAUAAACGAAGGGCAAAAUGCAUACGAAAAGGCAAUUAAGUCAUUAUUCAUCAAGGAAACGCACAAACUAUAAUCUGA